AUGGCUGUUGAGUUGAAAGAUUCCGCCGACCGUUAUGAGCUUCUUGAAAAGGAAAGCCAAACGAAGACGGCGGACCUGGAGAAAGCCAUGGUAGCAGCCAAGGAAGCCCGCUCUAAAAUUAGAGCAGCGAAGGAGGAGCUACGUCAAGCCGGAGAUAUCGCGGCUGGGAAGCCCUUUUUGUUGCGGACGAAGUUCGGAGAUCCUAAGUAUGCCCUUCUGGAUCAAUUAUGGAGUUCUGCAGACGCGUACUUGGAUUUGGCAGCGAGUGCUGCUGAUGCGACCGGGUUUUUCAAAGAUCAAAAAGAUCACGAAGUGGAAAAGUUGUUCUGGUCGCAGUUCAAUGUUCCAGUGCGUCCGCUGCUGUUAAAUGAGUAA
rnacentral:rRNA from 1 species